ensembl:lincRNA 4930584F24Rik RIKEN cDNA 4930584F24 gene
AGAAGGGCUGGGAUUCACAGCAAGCUCAUGUGUCUAGGAUGAUGACGUUCCUUCCAGGAAGAGAACUGGAUAUGACAUUGUUCCCAAGGAAUGAGCCAAGAGAAGCUAUGAGGUACUUUACCUAAGUACCAGUCCAAAAGACACCUGUGUGCCUAGAUACCAUUGAGCUUUCCCAAAUAGAAUGAGUGGUGGCCUCUGUGACCCCACAUGAGAAGUCACUGUCAUGAUUAUGGGCAUACCCAGUUCUGAAGGCAGCAGAGACCAUUGCAGUGGGCUAGGUUUCAAAACUAGGAGAGUCAGCAGGGAUUCUUUUAAGGAUGAACCAAGCAAGUCUCCAAAAGACACAAGGAUGUAUCCUGAAACCAAAAGUCCCACGCAAAACGUUCAAACACAAAGAUUCUGGCAUCAGGAACUUCUUGAGUUGCUAUUUAUGGAAGUUCAAGAGGUUCCCCCAAACAAUAUAAGUGACCUUGGAAACCAUAUACUUCUGCUGUUGGCUGUCCCGUUCAGCCUGUCCUCUUCACUGUGCAGGAACCAUCCAAGGGACUGCAUGCCAAGGACUGGGGAAUCACUACAAGUCAUUUGAAGAUUCACUACCUUUUCGGAAGCUUGGAAGGAAAAACAUAAUGAAUAAGCCCAUGAUGAUUUGGUGCUUUUAAUGUUUUUUUGUUUGUUUGUUUGUCUUUUCAACUCUUCAUGUUGUGUUGAUUUAUCCCAGGGCAUCAUUAUCAACCAAAGACCUGCAAUAAACCAGCCAUUCUC